CUUGCGGCUGGCCUGGGCGGGGACCCCCGGCCCCCUGCUGAGAUCCCCUGGAUCCCUUCUCCCCCGGCUCAGCCAUGAUUUUACUGGGCAGCUUGUUGCACCUGUACAGCAGGCAAUGCGGCCCCUUCGCAGCCCUCCGGCUGGGCCGGGCUCCCCGCUCGGGAGCCAGGUCCUGCAGUGCCCGCUGCAGGCAUCUGCGCGUCUUGGUGGACAUGGAUGGGGUGCUGGCGGACUUUGAAGGAGGAUUCUUAAAGAAGUUCAGGGCCAGGUACCCAGAGAAGCCGUACAUUGCCCUGGAGGAUCGCAGGGGUUUCUGGGUGUCGGAGCAGUAUGGCCAGCUGAGAUCCGAGCUGAGUGAGAAAGCAAUCAGCAUAUGGGAGUCAGAGAACUUCUUCCUUGAGCUGGAUCCGAUCCCAGGGGCUGUGGAAGCCGUGAAGCAAAUGGCUGAAUUGGAGAACACUGACGUCUUCAUCUGCACAAGCCCGAUCAAGAAGUACCGGUACUGCUGUUAUGAGAAGUACGCCUGGGUGGAGAAGCAUUUGGGCCAAGAAUUUCUGGAGCAUAUUGUCCUAACGCGAGAUAAAACUGUGAUCUCUGGCGAUCUGCUGAUAGACGAUAGACCCGAUAUAACAGGAGCCGAGCCGAGCCCCAGCUGGGAGCACGUCCUCUUCACUGCCUGUCACAAUAAGCACCUGCAGCUGCAGCCGCCCAGAAGGAGGCUCCACUCGUGGGUCGAGGACUGGAGGGCCAUCCUGGACAGCAAACGGCCGCCGCGCAGCCGGGCCAUUUAAUGUGACGGGCUCCUCAGCUGCACGGAGCCUCGGCGUGCUCUGUGGUGCCCAGCUCCCAGCUGGAAACCACGGACAGAAAGCCGUGCGCGGCAGGGGGAGGAGAGAGACCCCUGGCAGGGAGCGAUUGCAGCAGCUCCGACCCCAGAGAACAGGGCCAAAGGGGGAUCGUGUUCGUUAAGACGCCUGUGACCGGGCCACCAUGAAGCAAGGGGCUGCAGGAAGGAUUCUGGGCCCAUCCCAUGACAGGACGCCCUGUCUGGCAUGUGUCCCUUUGCGCCCAGCUCUGUUUAUCUCAGUGGCUUCUGAGUGUUGGUGAUCGUACCCACUGGGGACACCAAUUGUGAUGUCACUGACAGACUCAGCUCGUUACCUGCCAUCCCCUGCACCUGCUUAGAGAUGCAGAUUAACUUUUAAAUACUCCCCGUCCCCCAGUCUCCAUUGUGUUGGGUCACUGGAUCAGCAGCCAGCUCUGUGCUGACAUAGGCCCAAGAAGACUAUCAAAAUCCUUCCUCCUCCAUCCAUCCAGACACAGGGGGCCGGUCGUCCUAACCCUCCUAAUCCUCAUUUUUUUGGCUCACCUGCUGUUACCACUCCAUGGGAAGCAUCUUUGUGCAGCAGCGUUUGAUCGGCUAAUGAUGGAGAAGGCGACUUUUCUUCCCUGCAGUGAAUGUGCCUCCCGGAACAGCCUUGCAGGAGCUCGUGUGGGAGCAUUGUUAAACCAGAUUCUUGCGGGCAUGAUCCCCACCCCCCCACCAGCCCAGAGUUCACGUCUGGCACAAAUAGAUUCCAAGGGAAAGGCUGCCUCACAGGGUCACCUGCGCAGAAUCCCAGCCUGUCCCAAGGGGGAAGGAGGAUUCUGCAAACAUGCGAUGCAAAAGAUGGACCGUGGCAGGGGUCAGAGAGCAGCGAAGGCCUCAGAGGGGAAGGACCAGCAUCCAAAAUGGCAGCCUGUGGGGCCCAAGCCAGCUGGAUCCAUGCCGGGGCUGAGUACCCAUGUGAGCAACCAGCAAGAAGAAUGGCCCAGCGUUGAUGUGCCUGGGAUGCUGUUCCCCCGCUUUGGCUCUGGCAGUCGUGUCAGGGCGAGGGGCAUGUGAACAGGGCCAGUGUUAGGAUUUGGGGGGGUGACCCCUGAAACUUUAGUCUAAACUCAACCUCCUCUUACCCAUGUAGUCUCCUCCUCAAGGGCGUACUAUGGUUCUGCCGUGGCUCUCCUCCUAGAACAUGAACAGAGCCACACAAUGGUGCCUGAAAUUCGGAGUGUUUAACGAUCCUGCAGACUGGGCUUGUGAACAUCCGGGUCCCGUUACUGCUUCGAGGUCAGGGGCAACCCCACUUUGAGCAUCGGGCGUCUGUGUCAGCGCUGCUACGCUCAGAGGAUCAGAGGUGCUGGACCCAGGGGUGCAGCUGUCCUCCCUCCCCCGGCUUGAAGUGUUUCCAUCAUUCACAGGGUUUCAGCAGGGCUCAGUGACGCUCAGCACCCCUGCUAGAUGCAUUGUUCCAGCACUCGGCAAUAGUCCAGAUGUGGAAUACAUUUUACGUGCACGGAGGCCUGGGCAGAUGUGCACCACCAGGAGAAACACAAACCACGCGGUGGGGGCUCUGCUAACCAGCAGGGGCAGCCUUUGACUUUCCCCUGAGCGGCUGCACACACGUACAGCUUACAGGGAACACCGUGUAGACUAGUUCCACCACUUCCCGUCCCCAAAACCCACAUGGGGGGGAAGGGGAGGGGACAGGAGCUAAGCUGAAAGACAUUGCAGUAGCCACCAUUCAUCGUGGGCGCCUGAGUGUGUUCUUUGGCACUGAAGUACUGACCAGCCGCAGCAUUCGGCCGGCCUAGUGACCAUAGGCAUUGAGCAAGCCAGAGCCGUGGGCCUCACCACUGGAGUUCCACAGCAGAAUGGACAGAAUCUGCCAUUGUGGUUGGAAGAUCAAAAAGCUCAAGCUGUGUGAGUCCGUCCCUCUCCUCCCAGCCUCCGACACCAGAGAGCAGAGGGUCCUGCCGACCGGUGCUACAGCCCUGCUGCUCUUCAGAGAGGGGCUUCGUUGGGUGGUGCAGAAGCCCUUUCUCUGUGUGCCCAGAGCGUAGAUUAGCACUCCUGAGACCCACGGGCACUGCCUCCUGCUAGCAGAGUCCAGCCCGCCCGCCGGCCCCCACAAUCCUCUCCGCACUGCAAAGAAGAAUUUGCUCUCCUACCCCAGCAACAGGCUUUGGGGUUUCCCUGCACUGAAGGCUCCCGGGCAGGAGGGAAGCCACAUGUUUCUAAACUCUUGGCCCGUUGCCUACAGCAAUAGCUCUUCCCUGCCAUCGGUCUUCACACAGCUGGAGUCCCCUGCUCUCUCCUGAGCAAAGCUGUGAAAAGCAGGCGAAGCCCGACGCCCCGAGGUACGUCAAUAAGCUGUGAAUGUUGUGCCGAUGGCGUUAGUGCUUCGCAAGAUUUCCAGGACCUGGACGUUGUGCUGAACAAAGAUGGGGCUGUAGGAUUUUGCCCUUUCUCCGCUUUCACCACUGGGACCGAACCCCAAACGGCUCGCCGUGAGGAUUUUGAGCAUGCGUCUCUUGGGGUUUGGGCCCCUGACUGCAGUGGGAGGGAGCUGCAGGGCUUGGGCCAGGUUGGAUGUGCUGCAUCCUGAAAGGGCUGUCUGAACGUGUCAACCACUGUGCCCCUGCUUGGGGUGAUCAGACGGGUAUUGUAGUGGCCCGGGGCACAGGGAGAGGGAGCUGAAAAUAGGCUGGUUUGACGCUGCUGAACUUCUUGGGACUCAAGGCUUGGAACCCUGAAGGGCUACAGGAGACGGGGGCAGCCAGCGAAGCGCAGCGGAGGAGCAAAGCUGGUGGGACCAUGGAUGACACUGCCCCACUCUAGUUACCCACCUGCCAAGGGCAUUACAUUGUUUCCAACCCUCUGUGUGUUUUGUUGAUUGGUCCACUUCUCCCUCUCCUACCCCUCUGCUCCUCUGGGUAAGGCUGUUUUCAGAGCCAGCCUGCGGUUACAGCUGCUGUACGGCAUUGUGACCCUAGCAGGGGCUGGAUUGGAUGUUGCGCUAGGCUGUGCAUGUCUCAGAGGGGCAGCCAUGUUAGUCUGUAUCUGCAAAACUGAGGAGUCCUGUGGCGCCUUAGAGACUAACCCAUUUAUCUGGGCAUCCUCUUUUGUGGGCAAAGACCCACUUCGUCAGAUGCCUGGAGUGGAAAUCUGAGGCAAGUUUAAAUAUCGUCGCACAUGAAAAGAAGGGAGUUGCCUUCUCGAGUGUAGGCCAGUGGUAAAGAGGUCGAUUCAGUCUGUGUAAAUGUGGCUCACUCCCAACAGGUGUGACUACCUAGAGAGAGAAAAUUGCUUUUGCAGGGCACCAGCCAUUCCCGGUCCCUAUUCAGCUAGACUCCUCAUUGGUUAGGCUGUGCAUGCCGUUUGGCCUUUUCAUUGGUUCUUUUUUCCACAUUUGAGGGUGGUAAUAUGAAGCAUGACAUCAGCAAAGCUCAUUCAGGUUGGACCUGCUCUGCAGCGUUGGCACUUGGAAGAGGAGGAUGCGUUUCCAGGGCUAACAGCCCUGUCCUCUUUCUCACACACCUACGCACACAUAUCCAUCUACCCCUGGCUAUAAGCUGAAUUGUUUGGACUGUAUUCUCAUGUGGGUAAAUCAGCACAGACCCAGUGAUCUUAAGGAGGCAAAGCCAAUUUAUACCAGCUGAGGAGCGGGUCUUUAAAAUGAUUAAAUUACUUUGCUGCGAUGUGGCGAAACUUUUUUCAAGGUUUAUAUAACAGAUUCACUCAGGAUCAUUGCCCUCCGUAGUUGGUUUUGUUGUCACUGCAGUUUAUAUGAAAUAGGGGUUUAAUAUUCCUGGUGCCACAGUAAAUGUGAGAGAGGGGAGAUUUUACCUCUAGGACUCUGGAGAGGGGCCAUGGGGCACAGUAGCAUGCUACUGAUUAUUCCUGCUUUCUUUUGGAAACUACAUCACAGUCCAACUGAUGGAAUCCCCAUGAACAGAAAUAGGGCUGGUAGGAAGCUAUGAUUUCUGGCCAGUGUCUUGCAAAUAUUAUUGUCAGCAAACCAGUAAAACACAGCAGUAUGUCAAGGAAGAUCGUUCCAGACCGCCGAUGAGCGAAAAGCACUAGAAACCAUGUCUUGUUAUGGAAGAGAGGCACAUAUAAUAUGACAUCGAGGUAGGCAAUGCACUCUCCUGCUAACGUUAUGGAGUUAAUUGUCCCCUGGGUUGUAUUCCUAGUUAUCUGGCUGUCUAGGGUUUCAUACCUUAUCUGUUACUGGGAUAGCAGAACGUCUCUGACACAGACUCACCGGAUGACCUUGAGCAGAUCACUUGUUUUGUGCCGCAUUUUCCUCAUCGGUAAAAUUUAGAUCAUCCCACCUAUUUCCAAGUGGUGUUGUGAGGAGGAGCUGGACAGCAUCAUGUGUUUCAAGAGCCUUAGUGAGAGCAUGCUGUGUAAGUUAUCAUUAAUGAAGUGCUUCCCCUUGGGUAGGCACAGGAGUCCAGCUGGGGCAGAAUGGCAAUUUUAGGGCACAGUCCAAGGGUAUUGUGGAAAUUUUGAUCUUUACAGAAAAUGCUUCUCUGAGCAUCAAAGGUCAGGACCAGAUGAUCUCCCCUCACCCAAAUCCGGAGGCCUUUUGGUUGUUCCAUCUAGUCCCCAGAAUUGGGUGGGAAGGUGUAGAACGUAUUGUGUGUAUCCUACAUGGCAUCUGCUGGAUCCAGCUGCCAUCCCUGAAGACAGAGAGUGGGCGAAACGUUCUCUCCUAGCCUGCUGAAAUGAGGAGACGUGGCAACUGGGGGCCCUCUGAGCCAAUCAGGCACAUCCCAAGGAGUGCUAAGGCCCGAAGACCGAAUCUGGAAGGUUUUCGCUGCCUGACAGAUGCAGCAUGAACCUGCUCCCACGCCGGUGGAGGAGACCCCUGGAAAGACGUGCCCCACAGCCUCGCUGCUCAGCCAGGCCCCAGGGAGUCUGUCUCACGUGAUGAGAAACGGGAUUUGCUUGUAAAACUGAAGGGUGGUGCUUCUGCUCAUGCAUGAGCUGGUGGUUGUUCCUCCAGGCUGACAGGGCAUGGAGCGUGAACCCUUGUGUUGAUCUGACUGGCCUGGAGGAAGAGCAGGAGGAGGGGGGGAGCCCUCUUUCGGGGUUUCCUGGUCAAUGGACCCACCGGGGCAGUUAACAAAGUUCCCCUCUGAAACGGGCGGGUCUACAUGCGUGUCCACAACACAGAAGCUGCUAGCACCUUGACACUGGACC